rnacentral:rRNA from 1 species
AUGACGUCAAAUCAUCAUGCCCCUUAUGACCUGGGCUACACACGUGCUACAAUGGUUGGUACAACGAGUUGCGAGUCGGUGACGGCGAGCUAAAUCUCUUAAAGCCAAUCUCAGUUCGGAUUGUAGGCUGCCAACUCGCCUACAUGAAGUCGGAAUCGCUAGUAAUCGCGGAUCAGCACGCCGCGGUGAAUACCGGUUCCCGGGCCUU